CGGGCCGGGCCGGGCGGGCGCGCGCGGAGCGACCGCGGCCCUCGGGCCAAGCGGGGCAGUGAGCGAGAGCAUGAUCAUUGCAUCUCCACAGGACCUGCUCCUUCAGGCCUUUCCUGACGUCAGCUAUGCGGCUCUCCAUCCACAGAGAUAACACAGAGGGUACACAGCAUACACUGGAGGUGGUGGGGCGCUCCUGCCUAGGGGAAGGCAGUGGUGCCAUCCUGUCUGUGCCUGGGAUGCAGAGGGUCUUCAGCCUCUCUGGUGGAUUCCCAGCCCGGCUUCCCAC